rnacentral:rRNA from 1 species
UAAGCGGAGGAAAAGAAACUAACAGGAUUCCCCUAGUAACUGCGAGUGAAGCGGGAAAAGCUCAAAUUUAAAAUCUGGCAGUCUCUGGCUGUCCGAGUUGUAAUCUAGAGAAGUGUUAUCCGCGCUGGACCGUGUACAAGUCUCCUGGAAUGGAGCGUCAUAGAGGGUGAGAAUCCCGUCUUUGACACGGACUGCCAGGGCUUUGUGAUGCGCUCUCAAAGAGUCGAGUUGUUUGGGAAUGCAGCUCAAAAUGGGUGGUAAAUUCCAUCUAAAGCUAAAUAUUGGCGAGAGACCGAUAGCGAACAAGUACCGUGAGGGAAAGAUGAAAAGAACUUUGGAAAGAGAGUUAAACAGUACGUGAAAUUGCUGAAAGGGAAACGCUUGAAGUCAGUCGCGUUGGCCAGGGAUCAACCUUGCUUUUGCUUGGUGCACUUUCUGGUUGACGGGUCAGCAUCAAUUUUGACUAUUGGAAAAAGGUCAGGGGAAUGUGGCAUCUUCGGAUGUGUUAUAGCCCUUAGCUGCAUACAAUGGUUGGGAUUGAGGAACUCAGCACGCCGCAAGGCCGGGUUUUAACCACGUACGUGCUUAGGAUGCUGGCAUAAUGGCUUUAAUCGACCCGUCUUGAAACACGGACCAAGGAGUCUAACAUGCCUGCGAGUGUUUGGGUGGAAAACCCGAGCGCGCAAUGAAAGUGAAAGUUGAGAUCCCUGUCGUGGGGAGCAUCGACGCCCGGACCAGACCUUUUGUGACGGUCCCGCGGUAGAGCAUGUAUGUUGGGACCCGAAAGAUGGUGAACUAUGCCUGAAUAGGGUGAAGCCAGAGGAAACUCUGGUGGAGGCUCGUAGCGAUUCUGACGUGCAAAUCGAUCGUCAAAUUUGGGUAUAGGGGCGAAAGACUAAUCGAACCAUCUAGUAGCUGG